rnacentral:rRNA from 1 species
CGCACUGGUAUGCCUCAGUACGGCGAGUGAGCGGCAAAAGCUCAAAUUUUAAAGCUGGCACCUUCGGUGUCCGCGUUGUAAUUUUGUGAGGCAUCUCCGGGUAGGGCGCCGGCCUAAGUUCCUUGGAACAGGACGUCAUAGAGGGUGAGAAUCCCGUGCUUGGCUGGCUGUCCCCGUCCAUGUGAGGUGUCUUCGACGAGUCGAGUUGUUUGGGAAUGCAGCUCAAAAUGGGUGGUAAAUUUCAUCUAAAGCUAAAUAUUGGUGGGAGACCGAUAGCGCACAAGUAGAGUGAUCGAAAGAUGAAAAGCACUUUGAAAAUAGAGUUAAAAAGUACGUGAAAUUGUUGAAAGGGAAGCGCUUGAGACCAGACUUCGGUGGGGGGUGAUCAGCUGUCCUUCUGGGCGGUGCACUUGCUCCCCUCCGGGCCAGCAUCGGUUGGGGCGGCGGGAUAAAGAUCCCGGGAAUGUGGCUCCUUUCGGGGAGUGUUAUAGCCCGGGUGAAUGCCGCCAGUUCCGACCGAGGACCGCGCCUUCGGGCUAGGAUGCUUGGCAUAAUGGUCUUCAGCGACCCGUCUUGAACCCACGGACCA